AAUUACGUGGAAAAUCAAGAGAUAAUGAUAAUAAAUUUCGAAACACAUAAACAUAUGGAUUCAUAAUCUAUUCAAGUGUUCUGAAUCUACUGUGAGAUACUUGAUCCCAUCGCUACAAUGAUAACUCGAAUAGGAGGAAACAGAGGGGAGAAGAGUCAGUCAGUUCUCCCUGUGCCGGUGUUCGCGCCACAGAUUGCAUCAGCACGCCCUUAAUCCUAUUAUGACUAAGUAAUGACUCCUUAGUAUGCCGACUCGAGAACCGUAAAAAUGUUGUGUCAGAUGCUAUCUGACUGGUUGUCGUUUGGUAAUUUACCAUACGUCCAGCAUCGGCUAAAGGUCCAGUUCAUCUUGUUAACCACAUUUGUUGAAAAAGUGACAUGACUCAAAAUUUACAUUUAUCGAAUUAAUUCUUUGUCACGAAGAAUGAACAUUUCUUAAGAAACAUCAAGCAAUCACUACUGAAGAGAAACAGAAAAAGAGAGAGAGAAGGAACGAUGGUAUUUAUAGCUCGUUCGAAUUCUAUGGAUCUCGAAGGGAACACGACAAGUAAUAAGUUUCGUUUAAGUCUGAGCAAUCAGAUAACGAUCGGAAUUUUGCGGCGAGAAGAAAGAGAGAAUCGAGGGAGAAGGAAAGAUUGUAUCCAAUCUACUUGUAAUUAUAUGCGAUGGAAUCUGGUAUGUAAGGAUUGUUUAACGGUAAACGAUGAAUUGGUGCAAAUAGCAGGACUGAACAGUUAUUUAACGAAAUUGCCAUCUGAUUAAGGGGAUUGCUUUAAAGUAUACGUAUUGUGAAAUAACUGAUGAACAGGAGAAUAUAUUCACCAGAUAUUGAACAAGUUCCUUGAACAAAUUGUGCAUAGAUGAAUGAAUGGAGAUGAAUUUUAUGGAUGAUUCUUCAAAAAGCAUUAUUGUAGAGAGUAACACAGUGUUGAGGAGACAUUGAAUAGUAAAAUGAAGAAGUGUGAAGUAAAUAAUUGAAUAAAAUAAAGAUAUAAUUAUAAUCAAGUAAGAAUUUUUGAAAAAUGUUUAAAGAAAGAGAGGAGUUAAAAAAAUUGAACGAAAGAAUGUUUUUAUUAAGUCAAUCAAUAUUUAAAUAAAGUUGAUAUAAAAGUAUUGAUGAAAAAGAAAAUGAUUAUAAUUAAGAAAUAAGAAAACAACAUCAAAGCCGCAAUGAGAAUCGUAAAGACGAGCCAACAGAACCAUAAAAGCAACGCAGAACAAUAAAUCUAAUAUCUCGUAAAACUCUGGUUCCCUCUUCCAUCAUCAACGAUUAGGAAUGAUUCUCGAGAGAUUCUUAAUAACGAAUGAUCCCAAAUCCAUCAAAACUCGGAACAACGAAAAUAUCCUAUCCUAUCUGUGAAGAAAGGAGUCUUCGAAAAAAAUAUGUAAAAGGGUCCACCAGAAACCAGUUCAGAUUUAUCGCUUCCGCUAUAGUGAAAAAUAUGAAGCAAAUUAACAUGCCCAAGUAAUAUUGUUACGAUGAUUUAUGGGUGAAAACACGAGGAAGCUGUCCAACGUCAUUUCAAGCGGCAAAGAGAAUGCGAAUUUGCAAGAAACUAAACCGACUGCAUACCAACGAGCCUGAAACCCAAGAAAGCCGACCUUUCCGCGAUAUCUUCACCGCCUUAAUUCCCUGCGAAUCUCAUGAAAAAAAGGCGUGAACAUCGUCCAAAGGGAUUUAAACGGCUACUUAUCCUCGUUCGGUUUGGUUUGUGAUAAACCAGGAAAGAAAAUACAAAGAUAAAAAUGGAUGUGAUAAUAUGUGUAAGUUUAUAUGUUUACGUAUUUUGGCAUAGAGAUAGAACAUCUCGAGUGACAUAAGUAUUUGAAUGAUUUUAAAAUUCAUUCAACUUAAAAAAACAUUUUGAUAAAAAAGAAUUGUCACAAAAACUUAUUUUCUUCAGUUUUAAUCACGCAAACACAUUGCAAUUAAUUGCUAAUACAAAAAAUAAUUGGAGACAACAUACAGAACCGCUGUGUUACAAUACUUGUCACUGAAACGAGUUCAAAUCACGUUGCUCUAAGGAUGCUUUUAAUUUGAAAGCAAAUUCUCUAAGAUAAUGUAUGAACUUGGCAAUGUUUUCCAGAUGUCAUCUCUUUCUCGAGAUUCACAACGAGGAUAAAGUUGUAAGAACUCGUAUCUACGAGGCGAAUUGUCAGCUUUGCGAAACGAAAAAAAAAAAGAACAAAAAGAAAGAAAGAAAAAAUAAAUAUUACGACUGUGUUACGAACGUGGUUUACCGGUAGCCAACACGUAGAAGCUACUCUUUGUACGUGGAAUAGUUACGAGUUCUUCGGGUUUUGUUUAAUAUGCAUGGAAACGCGCCUGUUAGAGCAUAUGCUUUCAUAUGUUUACCGCUUCCAAUUUCUCAUUGUUAUCAGAACUACUGACUUAAACGAUAUUCUUGUAUAGAGAAAGAAUGAAAGAACGAAUUCGAAAGUUUUAGAGAAAAUAAUAAUGAAUUAAAUAAAAAAAAAACUCGAAUCUUUCUAAAGGUAUUUUUCAAAGCAAGAAGACUGACAAAAAUCUAAAAUGGACAGGAUAGGAUCCAAGUACAUUUAAAAAACAAAAUACUACUAAAUAAUCUUAACUCGAAAUUUUCUACAAAUUCUUAAAUAACAUAAAUCCAUUCAUAAAUAAGAUCACUUAUUUAACUACAAAUCUCAGUUUGUUUGUUUCACGAUUUUUCAAGAAAAAAAUGUUCAAGAUCGAUCAUUUGUUCAAUUCACGUUCAAUUGUCUUUCUAAAGAUAAGGAAACUGAGCAACCCAAAGAUGUCGCAUACUCUCAAAUCAUUUUAUCCAUUCAAAGCUUAUUAUUCACACGUUUUAAACGACGUCUAAAGUGCAGUGACAUCUUUUUUCGACUGUCACGCCUUUAUCGUGUUCACUUUUACGCGGCCACUCGUAUCGAUCUGACAGUGGCGUAAAAGCCGUGACAGAAUGCCUUCACCGACCGUCUUCGCGGAAUCCUAAGAAACUUAGUCAGGAACUCUCUGUGUUGCAUAUCGGAAGUCAGCAGCCCAUUGCUGGAUGACAAAUCGUUGGUUGGCCGAGCUGACAGCUAACAUCCAUUGACCGUUUUACAACUUGAUAAAUUGUAACAUGGAGGAUCUUCUCGUUAUAACAGAUGGUGUACGCGUUAAGCACCCAUUUUUUAAAAUUACUUCUUUAUUUAAGGAUCUUUAUUUUUUUGAUCUUGUUCAAAUCAUUGGAACAUGAUGAAAUAAUGCAAUAUAUACUACAAUACGCCAAAAAUUAAAAUUUUCUGAUAACAGUUGAAUUUAAUCUUCUUUUUCUCGAUUCAAGUCGCACAAGAUUUUCUCCAUGCUGGUCUGAUUUAUUCAUACAUUCAUUUACUCUGUAAUUUAGUAAAUUCAUCAUUUGAUUCAUUCGUAAUCGCUAAUGUCUCUAUAAUAUUCUCGGUUAAUAAUCAAUUAAGACUUGAUUGAAAAGUAGCAACGUUAAUGUAAGAUGAAUUGCCGAAUUGAUGUCGUAAUAUCGAAUGAUUAAUGGAAUGAUAAAUCGUUGAAAGAAUGAUCGCCUACUCGAAAACGAUCGAGGAAGGUGGAGUGGGUCGUUUAAUGAUUCGAAUACGUGAUUGUAACGUUGCAGUUGAUUAUUAACCGUACAAUUUAUUGUAUCAUAAAUGUCUACUUUCAUGUCUAAUUUUUUACCGUCUCGUGAUAUAUACCUUAUUGUGAACAAACCUACGAGUUCGCUAUAAAGCUUAAUUACUUAACCUCAAUAUUAACGAGAAUAGGAAAGAGUAUCGAUGAAACAUUUUACCGGGACGAUACAUAUUGUAAAACGAGAUAAUUCGAUUCUAAAUAAUCAAAUAUUUCUAAUCCUGUAUCGUAAGAUUUAAUUUAUUAUUAAUUUAUGUAGAUCGAAAUAAAAGCAUAAAUCGAAAUUAUCCGGAAAAAAAAAAUAUUCGAGAAAAAUAUCGUGAUUAUUUGCAACAUCAUAAAUAUAAGAUCUCCUGUAAUAUUCUGAUUUAAAGCAAAAGGCACACUAGAGAUCAUUAUGGAAAUCGCUAAAUCUAAUUUCCAUAAUAGAUAAGUUGUAUAAAUUAUUUCAACAAGAUUUUAAUGCAGCUAGGUUAGAAAUUUAUUAUAAUAUUGUUACAAUAUUGUUAAUAUUUUUAUGUUAAUGCAUGUCGGUGCAAUCAUAAUGUAGUUUUAAUUAAAUGUAAAUAAAAUGUAACGAAAUCGAAAA